rnacentral:rRNA from 1 species
AGUGAACGCUGGCGGUAGGCCUAACACAUGCAAGUCGAACGGCAGCACAGUAAGAGCUUGCUCUUACGGGUGGCGAGUGGCGGACGGGUGAGGAAUACAUCGGAAUCUACUUUUUCGUGGGGGAUAACGUAGGGAAACUUACGCUAAUACCGCAUACGACCUACGGGUGAAAGCAGGGGAUCUUCGGACCUUGCGCGAUUGAAUGAGCUGAUGUCGGAUUAGCUAGUUGGCGGGGUAAAGGCCCACCAAGGCGACGAUCCGUAGCUGGUCUGAGAGGAUGAUCAGCCACACUGGAACUGAGACACGGUCCAGACUCCUACGGGAGGCAGCAGUGGGGAAUAUUGGACAAAGGGCGCAAGCCUGAUCCAGGCAUACCGCGUGGGUGAAGAAGGUCUUCGGGUUGUAAAGCCCUUUUGUUGGGAAAGAAAAGCAGCAGGUUAAUACCCCGCUGUUCUGACGGUACCCAAAGAAUAAGCACCGGCUAACUUCGUG